rnacentral:rRNA from 1 species
GACGAACGCUGGCGGCGUGCUUAACACAUGCAAGUCGAACGGAAAGGCCCCGUUGGUGUGGGGCGCUCGAGGGGCGAACGGGUGAGUAACACGUGAGUAACCUGCGCUUGACUUUGGGAUAACGUCAGGAGACCGGGGCCAAUACCGGAUAGGAGCUCCUGCUGCAUGGGGGGGGUUGGAAAGUUUCGGCGGUCGGGGCUGGACCGGCGGCUGAUGGGCUUGUUGGUGGGGGGGUGGCUUACCAAGGCUUGGACGGGUAGCCGGCCUGGGAGGGUGACCGGCCCCAUUGGGCCUGGGGUACGGCCCAGACUCCUACGGGAGGCAGCAGUGGGGAGUCUUGCCCAAUGGGCGGACGCCUGGUGCAGCAGCGCCGCGGUCGGGAUGACGGCCUUCGGGUUGUAAACCGCUUUCGCCUGUGACGAAGCGUUAGUGACGGUACUUGGUAAAGAAGCACCGGCUAACUACGUG